ACGGUCUUCGUUCCCUUUUUUUGGGGGUGGGGUUAGUGGCGAACGGGUGAGUAACACGUGAGUAACCUGCCCCUCACUUCUGGAUAACCGCUUGAAAGGGUGGCUAAUACGGGGUGUUCUGGCCUGCUCGCAUGGGUGGGUUUGGAAAGAUUCGACCGGUUUUGGUUGUUUUGGUGGGGGAUGGGCUCGCGGCCUAUCAGCUUGUUGGUGGGGUGAUGGCCUGCCAAGGCUUUGACGGGUAGCCGGCCUGAGAGGGUGGGCGGUCACACUGGGACUGAGACACGGCCCAGACUCCUACGGGAGGCAGCAGUGGGGAAUAUUGCACAAUGGGCGCAAGCCUGAUGCAGCGACGCCGCGUGAGGGAUGGAGGCCUUCGGGUUGUGAACCUCUUUCGCCAGUGAAGAAGGUCCUGCUCUUUGUGGUGGGGUUGACGGUAGCUGGGUUAAUGAAGCGCCGGCUAACUAC
rnacentral:rRNA from 1 species